rnacentral:rRNA from 1 species
AUGAUGGGCGGUGACAAGGCCCCGCGACCACGACAGGGAGCUCCUUAUCCCCCAUCUCCAGCGGCGGCGGCGGGGGCUCAGUCCCCCGCGCCGGGGACGACGACGACGACUUGGACAAGACCGUCGCCUCUUUCGCGCUCUCCUCCUCCAGCCCACGCUGAUUGGAAAUUCGAGGUCGCUGCAGUCAUCGGCGCCUCCUCCGUCGCGAGAGGCCAAGGGCGAGAGGAAGGAGGCAUCAUCAGCUCUAGAAGGAUCAGUAGCCCUCCUCGUCAACUGCAUAUGCCGAGGUCGCUGCUGGUGCUGCCGACUCUGCACCAGCCUCCUUCAUCUCCCAGCCAAGGCCAACUCAACCCCUCAAGAAGAGCAGGGAUGCUCUCUCUCUACACCCAGCGUCCACACAAUCAGAUCGACAUGGGUUUGGAUGGCCUAAUGAGAGCAGCCCAGUAG